rnacentral:tRNA from 1 species
GCCUGGGUGGCUGAGGCGGUUAGGCGUCUGGCUUUGGCUCAGGCCAUGAUCUCACAGCUCGUGGGUUCAAGUCUCACAUCGGGCU